rfam:Tumebacillus algifaecis strain THMBR28 chromosome, complete genome.
UUCUUAGGUAGCACAGCUAAGAACGCGACGUCCUGUCGCAACGCUGUACACGGUACGUCCUGUACG